CCUACGAGCAAAUAUUAAUAAAAGAGCACACUUCUUUACACAUUAAAGGUACCGGAUAAGUGACUGGCAAUCAUGUUGGGAUCACUCGUGUUAGCAAUUUCGAGAUUGGCUGUGGUUGCAGAGCUGCCCUUGAAGAGAGGGGAAAGGGUGAUUGGUUUCAAUUCCCCAACGGCAAAGGGGUGGGGGGAGAGCAUAAUUUGACUGUGGCAUUUUCCCACCGCUCUCCGUUUUGCUGGGGAAGCAUUAACAUGGCAGCCCCCCCCCCCCGAUAAUCACAGCAGGCUUGAGAUGUUAUUGUCGCAGGAUCCAAAGCAAGGCGGCGAUAUUCAAGGGAGGCUAAUUAAAUUAUUUCAAAAAAACCUUGCCAGAACAUUAUGCUUUUGUGCAAGAGAGAGAGAGAAGAAAAGAAAUCAGCAUGGCGCCCUCUUCUCAGUGUUUCAGGAGGACAGAAGGUAGCCAUGGGAUGCGUGGAGAGGAGGGAGGGAAGCAGUCUAGUUACGGGAUCUAAUGAACUCUGCAAACUUCCUGUGGCUUAUUCUCAGCUGCACGAGUUAUGGCACUCUGCAUUAUUAACAUCCCAGAUGCGCAAACCAGGUGACAUUUGACACCUUGUAAAGAAGAGGAAAAUUCAUUGGCCUUCUCUGGGUACUCUACUCUGGGGGAGGUAGGCAGGUAAAGGGAAAUGACAUUUGCAGCGACAAUUAAUUAGCAACAGGCAAUGUGAAAAGUGUGGCAUCUGUUAUCCCCUUUCAAUGAACUGAGCUCCACCUUAUGCUCAGACUCCACCUUGAAGAUGGGUUUGUGGACGGAGGUACCUCAUUGUAAACCACAUUUCACUGUGAUCUAUGAAUGCUAAUAAUAAUAAUAAUAAUAAUAAUAAUAAUAAUAAUAAUAAUUUAUUUAUACCCCGCCCAUCUGGCCGGGCCUCCCCAGCCACUAUGGGUGGCUCCCAACAGAAUAUCAAAAACACAAUACAGCAUCAAACAUUAAAAGCUUCCCUAAACAGGGCUGCCUUCAGAUGUCUUCUAAAAGUCUGGAAGUUGUUUAUCUCUUUGGCAUCUGGUGGGAGGGCGUUCCACAGGGCGGGUGCCACCACCGAGAAGGCCCUCUGCUUGGUUCCCUGUAACCUCACUUCUCGCAGGGAGGGAACCGUCAGAAGGCCCUCGGCGGUGGAUCUCAGUGUUCGGGCAGAACGAUGGGGGUGGAGACGCUCCUUCAGGUAUACAGGACCGAGGCCGUUUAGGGCUUUAAUGGUCAGCACCAACAUUUUGAUUUGUGCUUGGAAACAUACUGGGAGCCAAUGUAGGUCUUUCAGGACCGGUGUUAUACGGUCUCAGUAUAAAGCGAUAUAUUGCAUUGCAACUUGCUGAAUUGUAAUUAGCAGUUUUUCCCCUUCCGUUUUUUCAAAUGGGCACAGGACUUGAGCUGGUUUUCCAGCUGUGGAAGGCAGAACUGUGUCCUCCACAUGUGUCUCAAAUGCCAUUCCAGUAUCUCAGUGUUGAAGAGAGAGAUCAAGUUGCAGACACAUGCCAUGUUAGAUAAUCAAGUGAGGCCAGAGGUCUCACUUCAGUUAGCUAACUAACAACAAUUAAUCUAGAGACACACAGAUUGGAAGGGUCCACAAAGAAUUCCUAGCCUUUCCUGUCCCAACCCAACUCAAAUCCCUGAAUUCUAUCUAUUUGGGUUUGAAUAAUGUCCCAUUACAGGUGUAAAUUAACACAGCAAAUCUAGGAUGAAGGUAUUAUCACUGAUUACUACUGCUGCUGCUGCAACGGUCAUGGUGCUUAUUUAGCAUAUAUUUACCGUAAGCUUUAAUUGAACUGCCACAAGCCCUGAUAUUUAAAUUGCAUGACCCAUCCGACUCCACUGUUUACAAUUCUCCCUUUCCAUCUUGUGUGUGUGUGUACACACACACUGGUGAACCGAUAAUCUGGUGAACUGGGUUCGCUUCCCCGCUCCUCCACAUGCAGCUGCUGGGUGACCUUGGGCCAGUCACAUUUCUUUGAAGUCUCUCAGCCCCACUCACCUCACAGAGUGUUUGUUGUGGGGGAGGAAGGGAAAGGAGAAUGUUAGCCGCUUUGAGACGCCUUAGGGUAGUGAUAAAGCAGGAUAUCAAAUCCAAACUCCUCCUCCUCUUCUUCUUCUUCUUCUUCUUCUUCUUCUUCUUCUUCUUCCUCUUCUUCUUCUCCAUUGCAGGAUGCGGAAGCUUGUUUUCUCCUGCUCCGGAGGGUAGGACUCGAAUCGAUGGCUUCAAGUUACAAGAAAGGAGAUUCUGACUAAACAUCAGGGAACUAUAAGGAAAUUCUGCCCUUGGUAUGUCCAGUUUCCACCUCUCCAUUUCGAUUCUCUGG